rnacentral:rRNA from 1 species
GAUGAACGCUAGCUACAGGCUUAACACAUGCAAGUCGAGGGGCAUCAGGAAGAAAGCUUGCUUUCUUUGCUGGCGACCGGCGCACGGGUGAGUAACACGUAUCCAACCUGCCCUUUACUCGGGGAUAGCCUUUCGAAAGAAAGAUUAAUACCCGAUAGCAUAAUGAUUCCGCAUGGUUUCAUUAUUAAAGGAUUCCGGUAAAGGAUGGGGAUGCGUUCCAUUAGGUUGUUGGUGAGGUAACGGCUCACCAAGCCUUCGAUGGAUAGGGGUUCUGAGAGGAAGGUCCCCCACAUUGGAACUGAGACACGGUCCAAACUCCUACGGGAGGCAGCAGUGAGGAAUAUUGGUCAAUGGGCGUUAGCCUGAACCAGCCAAGUAGCGUGAAGGAUGAAGGCUCUAUGGGUCGUAAACUUCUUUUAUAUAAGAAUAAAGUGCAGUAUGUAUACUGUUUUGUAUGUAUUAUAUGAAUAAGGAUCGGCUAACUCCGUGCCAGCAGCCGCGGUAAUACGGAGGAUCCGAGCGUUAUCCGGAUUUAUUGGGUUUAAAGGGAGCGUAGGUGGACUGGUAAGUCAGUUGUGAAAGUUUGCGGCUCAACCGUAAAAUUGCAGUUGAUACUGUCAGUCUUGAGUACAGUAGAGGUGGGCGGAAUUCGUGGUGUAGCGGUGAAAUGCUUAGAUAUCACGAAGAACUCCGAUUGCGAAGGCAGCUCACUGGACUGCAACUGACACUGAUGCUCGAAAGUGUGGGUAUCAAACCAGG